rnacentral:misc_RNA from 1 species
GAUGAAGAACGUAGCGAAAUGCGAUACGUAAUGUGAAUUGCAAAUUCAGUGAAUCAUCGAGUCUUUGAACGCACAUUGCGCCCCCUGGUAUUCCGGGGGGCAUGCCUGUCCGAGCGUCAUUGCUGCCCUCAAGCACGGCUUGUGUGUUGGGCCCCGUCCUCCGAUCCCGGGGGACGGACCCGAAAGGCAGCGGCGGCACCGCGUCCGGUCCUCGAGCGUAUGGGGCUUUGUCACCCGCUCUGUAGGCCCGGCCGGCGCUUGCCGAUCAACCCAAAUUUUUAUCCAGGUUGACCUCGGAUCAGGUAGGGAUACCCGCUGAACUUAAGCAUAUCAAUAAGCGGAGGA